UUGUAUGGAUGAGCAAAGAAAGUAGUUUCCUGAGAUGGAAACUACCCCCGGUGAAGAUGCUAUGAA
rnacentral:pre_miRNA from 2 species